rnacentral:rRNA from 1 species
GACGAACGCUGGCGGCGUGCCUAAUACAUGCAAGUCGAACGCACAGUUUAUACCGUAGCUUGCUACACCAUAGACUGUGAGUUGCGAACGGGUGAGUAACGCGUAGCUAACCUGCCUGGUAGCGGGUGAUAACUACUGGAAACGAUAGCUAAUACCGCAUAAUCUUCAUUAUUGCAUGAUAAUUAAUUGAAAUGUGCAAUUGCACCACUACCAGAUGGACCUGCGUUGUAUUAGCUAGUAGGUGAGGUAACGGCUCACCUAGGCGACGAUACAUAGCCGAACUUGGGGGGGGGUCGGCCACACUGGGACUGAGACAAGGCUCAGACUCCUACGGGAGGCAGCAGUAGGGGAUCUUCGGGAAUGGACGAAAGUCUGACCGAGCAACGCCGCGUGGGGGAAGAAGGUUUUCGGAUCGGAAAGAUCUGUUGUAAGGGAAGAACGGGUGUGAGAGUUGAAAGUGCACACUUUGACGGUAUCUAACCAGAAAGCGACGGCUAACUACGUG